rnacentral:rRNA from 1 species
UAGGGAAUCUUCGGCAAUGGACGAAAGUCUGACCGAGCAACGCCGCGUGAGUGAAGAAGGUUUUCGGAUCGUAAAACUCUGUUGUUAGAGAAGAACAAGGACGUUAGUAACUGAACGUCCCCUGACGGUAUCUAACCAGAAAGCAACGGCUAACUACGUGCCAGCAGCCGCGGUAAUACGUAGGUGGCAAGCGUUGUCCGGAUUUAUUGGGCGUAAAGCGAGCGCAGGCGGUUUCUUAAGUCUGAUGUGAAAGCCCCCGGCUCAACCGGGGAGGUUCAUUUGAAACUGGGGGACUUGAGUGCAGAAGAGGGGAGUGGAAUUCCAUGUGUAGCGGUGAAAUGCGUAGAUAUAUGGAGGAACACCAGUGGCGAAGGCGGCUCUCUGGUCUGUAACUGACGCUGAGGCUCGAAAGCGUGGGGAGCAAACAGG